CCUGUUUUUACCAGGAAAAGUUCUGCUGCUUUAAACCAAUGUUAUUCCAGGAGACCCUGUGCCCACUGCCAGACCCUUUUCUGGAGGAAUACCAAUGUCACUCCUAGGAUUUAACAGGCCAUGAGGACUCAGCCAAGUACCUGGAGGAUUUGCACAAUAGCUUGAAGAUCAGAGUCAUUCAAUUAAGUGUCAUAAUAUUGGGGGGGUGGCGUCCUACAGCAGCGAGCCCCAGUGCCUGUGCCUAGAGAUCAAGCAGGAGGCUGUGUCCUCCUGCCCCAUCGUUCGGCCCUGGUGGCCCACUUGGGCACUGGACCACUGCUCUGCCAUGGGCACCAGCCAUGCCCACACGAUCUCCCCCUUGGGCUGGGGCCAGCAGCUCCCAAGCAGGCCUAACUCCACCCUGGGCCCUGAGGAACUGCUGAGCACCAGGGACUGUCACCUGCCCUGGAGCUUCCCCCAGGAUUCCAUCCCCAACCGGUAUCCAUCUUCCUACCCUUCCUGCCUGACCAGAUGCAGCUGCAGGUCCCACUGCUUCACUUCCAAAAGCUCAUGCCACCAUGUACCUGCCUGCCAGAGGAGCCCAAGCCAAAGAAGGGAAGGAGGUGGUGGCCCAGGAAAAGGAAGGCCGCCCACACUUGUGCUUAUGCAGGCUGUGGCAAGACCUAUGCAAAGCAUCUCAAGGGAUACCUGCGAACCCACACAGAUGAGGAAACUCACAGCUGGGAGACGCUGGAGAUGGGACUUGAAUAAUCUCUGACUCACC
rnacentral:lncRNA from 1 species